UUGUUCACUGUUUGAGGCUCUGAGGUUUUUAUUUAAUUGGUCAUUAGCUGCCACAAAGGCUCUUAUCUUUUGACUUUUUAUAAUUGCUGACUUCCUGUUUGUUUCUGAUCUAUGGCUUCCAAGGAGUUCUCUGGUCUUUGUUCCUUGGUUUCUUCACUCUCCGAGAGCAUUUUGUGCACUACUGGGUUGAAAAUGUAUUUGGUGGAGAGCAAAGGAGGUGCCAUAACAUGCAUGUUCUUGGCUCUUUUCUUCUUGGGGACAUGGCCUGCUCUUUUGACUAUGUUAGAAAGGCGUGGUCGUCUUCCUCAGCAUACAGCAUACCUACCUUGAUUACUCAAUCACCAAUUUCUUGUCUGCUUUACUCAUUGCUUUUACACUUGGUGGGAUAGGCAAGGGCACUCAUGAUCAGCCAAAUUUCUUAGUUCAACUUGCUCAGGAUAAUUGGCCCUCCGUUCUUUUUGCAAUGGGGGGUGGUCUGUUCCUUAGCCUUGGGAAUCUGUCAAGCCAAUAUGCAUUUGCUUUUGUUGGGCUAUCUGUUACUGAAGUGAUCACGGCAAGCAUAACUGUUGUUAUAGGCACAACCUUGAAUUACUUUUUGGAUGACAAAAUCAACAAAGCUGAGAUCCUUUUCCCAGGAGUUGGUUGCUUUUUGAUUGCAGUUUUUCUAGGCUCUGCUGUUCAUUCAUCUAAUGCUGCUGAUAAUAAAGCAAAGCUCAGCAAUUUCACCGGUGAUUAUAAAGAUGGAGACAUCAGCUCUUCCAAGGAGGGGGAUAUAGUUAAAUCAAAAGAUCUCGAGAGCGGAAGUAGUUCUGCAGACAAUGUCGAAGCAGGAACUGCAGUUUUUCUCGUGGAGCUUGAGGAAAAAAGAGCUAUUAAGGUUUUUGGGAAGAGCACUUUGAUUGGAUUGGCUCUAACAUUCUUUGCUGGACUUUGCUUCUCUAUGUUCUCACCAGCAUUCAACAUAGCAACAAAUGACCAAUGGAAUACUUUGAAAAAAGGGGUUCCCCAUUUGACAGUUUAUACUGCAUUCUUCUAUUUUUCAAUAUCUUGUUUUGUUAUUGCCAUGAUUCUAAACAUCACCUUCCUCUACCACCCUGUCCUAAACCUACCCAAGUCAUCAUUUAAGGCUUAUUUGGCAGACUCAGAUGGCAGAGUCUGGGCCUUGUUGGCUGGUCUACUUUGUGGGUUUGGGAAUGGUCUUCAAUUUAUGGGUGGUCAAGCAGCAGGAUAUGCAGCAGCAGAUGCAGUCCAGGCACUUCCACUUGUAAGCACUUUUUGGGGCGUGAUUCUGUUUGGAGAGUACAGGAAAUCAUCAAGAAGAACAUAUAUACUGCUAGGGAGUAUGUUGUUUAUGUUUAUAGUGGCUGUUGCUGUGCUAAUGGCAUCAUCAGGGCAAAGAAACAGCACUGCCAAGGAAUAAUUGGACAACACACAAGUUGUUUAUAGAUUGCCUAGUGCAAAGGGAGAAAAAUUCUCAUUGUUCAUUGGUGUGAAUAAGAGAAGAAGAAAAAAUCUAUUAAGAAAAGAGUGCAGAAAAAGAAAUAAAGCAGGGAGCAUAGUUGAUAUAUUCUUAUUGAAAUGCUUUUAUGUUUUUUAUUUUUCUGUA